rnacentral:lncRNA from 1 species
GAGAACCCUGAGGUGCUCUUGUCUGGGAGCAUGCUCUCCCCUAUCGAUGGAGAUUCCUUAGGCUAGGAAAGCAGGGUGUUGGGGAAGGUCAGUCCGAUCUCCAUUCAGAAGCCUAGUGUAGUGGAAGGGCUCAGAAUUUGCCCUGGUGCUGACUGCGCCUUUGUUCUUCCAGGAGGAUGAAGGCGAGGAUGACUAGCACAGAAGACCGAUGGAUCCAACCUUCUUUUUCAUUUUCUUUUUAUUUUUUAAAUUUCCCCAGUCCCUGGGAGCGAGUUGCAGUCCUUUCCUCCCUGUCCCUCUGUGCUCAGCCGCCCUGUUUUUGAGGUCUCAACAUCAUGGUUCUCAACUAAUUUGGGGGGAAAAUAUCUUGAGCAAAAUACAACAGGAAAAGAAUCUUCACGUUUCUGUUCUAAAUUCAUUUUUAUCCUUGUCUCAAACUGUGGAUUCAACACCACCACCAUGCUCUGUGGGAAGAAAGAAAAGCCCUCCAGUUCCCUUGGCUCUGCUGGAGGCUGGAGGGUGCUAGGCCCCUGUGUAGUAGUGCAUAGAAUUCUAGCUUUUUCUUUUCUCUGUAUAUUGGGCUCAGAGAUUACACUGUGUCUCUAUGUGAAUACAGACAGUUAGCAUUUACCAACAUGGAUCUGUCUACUUUCUCUUGUUUAAUAAAAAGGAAAAAAAAAGAAAAAGGGGGGGGAUAGACAGUGAGCAAGGGUGGGAUCGAGGUGUCGGGGGGGUAUGUGGGCAUCUGACAACAUGGCUUCUCCUUUGGCAUGUUUCAUUGUGACGUUUAACAGACAUCCUUGCCGUUUAAGGUGACACUUAAAUAAAAUAAAACUCUCCUGAUGAAGACUUGAGCCCGCCACUCACGGGAGAACCAGCAGACGCUGUAGGGGUUUAUUUGGAGUUGGCAUUCUCUGUUGUAACUUUCAUCUUUAGUUUUUUUCUUUCCUUUUUUUUCUCUUUUUUUUUUUUCUCUUUUUUUACUCUUUUUCGGUUUUCACUGGAAGGAAAAAGAUGCUCAUUUUAAAUGUUGCCGUGUACAAGUUGCUUUGUUACAAUAAAAUCAAUGUGUACACAAAGGACCUGAUGCUUUUCUGUCAGAAGAGAUGCUCCACAGACCUUCCAAGUUUGACCUGCAUAAUGACACCAUGUCAAACUUUGUCUCCCUAACUUCGUAUUUUUUAUACGCACUUUGCAGGAUGACCUCAGGGCUGUGCAGAUUGAGUUAAAGGGAUUUGAAUCAUGUCUUAACGUCUCCGUAACUGAGUGGGCACAGCUUGCUGCUGUGGACUCGUACCCUUGGUUUUUAUCUCACAUUUGGCAUUUUUUUAAAAAAAAAAAAAUAAGGGCCUUUAGUUACCUGGAUCUCAUGGCAGCACCUGCUCCCACUGUCACUGACCUGAUACUCUAAUGCCAUCUACAAAGGACAACUGCUGGUGUGAACUGGCAGUGUGAACUGACCGAGAAGGUGGGCUGUCUGUCAGGGUGAGCAGUCGGUGAGGUGGGCUGUCACGGGUAUGUAGCAGAAACUCUCAGACGUGACUCUGACCUGGGUGGAUGAAGAGCUGUCUGCCCAGCGCCAUUGUGCAGAGAACAAUGUUUCGGGAAGCGACCUGAUGCAUAAGCUUUUUAAUGCUGUAAAAUAGAGCUAAAAUGAAAUGCCACUUUUUCAGAGAUGAUUAAUGGACAGCCUGGUCAAAUUCAAAGCUUUCUGAUGUAUAAAACUUUAUAAAUGGAACUACUCCAUCAAUAGGCAAAGUGUAACCAAAAUCUGUCUAGAUGGAUAGUGUGUAAUUUCUGCACAGGACUCUGUUUAGUAAAUACAUCACUGUAUACGUCAGGAAUCUUGCUCCAAUAAAGGAACAUAAAGAUUUUUUUUUGGA